ACAUUAUCUGUCAAAUUGAAGGACAGCUUUUUUCCCUUUAUGUCAAACAGCUAAUUAUUGACUAAGCACUCACUUAUGUGUUUUGAUAAAAACCAUACGUGAAUAGUUUAGCUGUGUGUUCAGUAGACAAUUAAGAAUAAAAUAAAACCUCUAAGGAAUGCUAUUCCUUAGUUGUGAAUUUUGCAUAUUUCAAAUAAAGUUUAGGUAAAGAAAGGCCAUGAACAACCAGAUGCCUUAGGUCAACAGAUAACUGACAUUUAUGGAAUGGGACAAGAUCGCUAACUUGGACAAGCACCUUAUAGAUUGAAAAAAAUGAGGUAAGUUUUUAAAAUUAAGAUUUGGAUAUUUGUGCAAAAAACAUUUUCAUUGUUUUAGAGUCUUUGUUUUCUACUCUAAAAUCUAUGCACAGUAUAUUUUAUGAUUUCUCCACUUCUGGGAGAAAAUAUAGAUUAUAGGUUUAAAAAAUGCAAAACCUACCCUAUAUGACUAUAGUUCCAAAUGAUAAAAAGCUAUGUUUUUUUGUCAUAUUAAAUAUUACAGAGGACACUCAGUUGUACUUGUAAAAGACUAUACUUUCUAAUAGUUUUAAGUGUCAUAAAUGGAAGAAAGGGGAGAAUUUCGUUCUGCCUUUCACAUUUUCUUCUUACUAAUAUUCUUUAGGCAAUUUUCUACUCCAAGUUAGUCUAUAAUAUUAAGUUUUGGAACCUAUUUCUAGGUAUGUGCAGACAUUUGUAAAUACUAGCAUCCUGAAGUAGAAUAUACUUUCAAUUGCAAAGUCAAGUGGAUUAUAGUGCAGGAUGGCAUCUAAACGCAAUGAAGUGAACACACUAACCAGUUUAUCCAAAUUAGCAAAGCAGGAAAAUAAGCACAGUACGUUUUCUAGAAGAGUAUUUAAAUACACACCAGUGCUUGGUAAACAGUUUAAUAUCAUUUUGUAAGGAACUUAGCUUGUUUUCUUGUUGUUCAUUGUCAUUAGUUCAAAUUAAGUUGAACAGCAGCUAAUUGAUACCAUCCCUUUAACUACCUGGCGGUAGUCAUAUUCAAAUAAAAUAAUAAUCGUGGUAGAUAUCAAAUGCCAAUAAAGUUUAUGUCAGAACUCAAAAUAUUAUAAACCAAAUAAAUUAGAGGCCUACUUUGCUUACAAGUUUCUCAGUAUGGUAAAAACAAGAGAAAGGCCAGGAACAACUGUCUUAUGUCAAGAGGUAACUGACAACAAGUGGGUAAACCCACUUCUUCCCACAUCCAACACAAUAUUUUUUCUAGAUACAAAUGCCAUGCUAUUUCUGAACUAUCUUGCCUCUGGAAAACUGUAAAAUAUUUUUUUAGCCUUGAAAUUAGGUGUGAACAUUUUGGUUCUAAAGCCAUAGAUAAAAAGUAAAGAUAUAUACCGUUAGCCUUAAGCAUAAAUGCCAGCAAACCUAGUCAUCUAUAUACCUUUUCUUAUCUCUUUCUUUGCUUUUUUUUUUUUUUAAAUGUGUCUCUGGUAUGUGUGUGAGUAUGCACUUUUUCAUUUAUGGCUUGCACCUUACCACUUCAGCCAUGCCUCCAGUUCUGGCUUUGGGUAACUAGAGAUAAGCAUUUCAUGGAUUUAUCUGCCCAGGCUAGCUUCUAAUGGAGAUCCUCAGAUCUCCCACCUGAGUAGUUGGGAUUAUAGGAAUGAGCUACUGGUGCCUAGCUUACCAGUACAUUUACUAAUGUAUGGUUUUCAUAGUUUGGAAUUAAAUGAGUGCCCUUCACAAACAAUUCCAUCUACAAGUUGUCCUAAGAUACUACACCAAAAAGACUUAAAAGGAAAAGCCUUUAUUGUUUUCUUCAAGAUUUUCUUUGCUUGGAGACAUUAUAACUCUUUAGAGAAUAUUGUCUGCAGCAUUACCUAUAUCACUCACUGUUUCCAUAGGAAAAUAAUUACUUCACUUUAUGCUAAAGAUAAUGAAAGUUAAAAUUGUACGUAAUGACUCUGGCAACCCCAGCACGAGGAGGUGGGAGGAAGGUCAGACUGAGGCCACAGUGAGACCCUGUCUCAACCAUCUCCACCUCCCCCCAAAACACUAUGGCUAUAGGGUGAUAAUAUUUAAAAUAAUUUUUAACAAUGAAAUGUCUUUUACCUAAUGAAUAGUAGAAUAAAAUGAUACUUCUAAAAAUAACACAAAAACCAAAAAAUUAAAUAUUCAAUUCUCAGUUCACAACAAUUUUAUAUAUAUUACUAUUUCAGGUUGUAAAGAAUUAAAUUAUAAUAACAAUACAAAUAUUUGAUUUAGUCCUUUAAAAAAGGACCAUUAUUUCUAAUAAAGUUCUUGAGUGUCAGUAAGAAUGGUGGGUUCAUGUUUAGUUGAAUGCAAUAUAUUCAGAAUUAAGAAAAUUACCAUAUUUGAAUUUGCAAGGUCACUUUUACAAUUUAGUUAUAACAUAUCAACAAGAUCUUGGUUAAGAUUUAAUUUAUUCUUCAAUUACAAUAGUCUCCUGAAUGGAGGUGGACUCUUUGUUUUCUACUUUUGCUAUACAAUAUGUGGAGUUGAAAGAAGGUGUAACAGAAAUUACUCCCUUGUUGAGCCAAUUAGUUGCUAAUCUGACUUUCAAAGAAUUGGCAAAGCACAAAAUUAAGAAUUUAUCUCAAAACAUAAAUAAAGGCACUAAUAACAAACUGUGUUUUCACCCAACAGUAGCAUAUAUAGUUGGUUGACCUACAAUAAAUAUAAAAAUCAAUGCUUAACUAUCUGACCCUUGCUUGGUCAAGGCAUUCUCUUGGAGUAAAGGAUAAUUUGUUUUAUAUUACUUUACAGGAAAUAUGUGAUGAAGACCUUU